GAAAUAUUGAUGGCUUAGGAAUAUUGAUGGGUUAGGAGUAGGAUGAGUUUUUAGGAGAAUAGAUAAUAGUUGAGUUUUUAAAAGAAGGUAAGUAAUAAUUAAAUUUUUAGAAGAGAGUGUGAUAGAUAAUAAUUGGAUUUUGGGUUUAGGCUGCUUUUGGUACUGGGGAUAUCUCGGAUAUCCCCGAAUUGUAACCAAACGGUAGAAGAAUAGGAGGGAACGGAUUGUUCUGGUCAAAACAGGUUGUUCAAGGAAUAGGAGGGAACGAAUUGUUCUGGUCAAAACAGGUUGUUCUAGAUUGUUCUUGAAUAAUCUGUUAAAAAUUAUUUCUAGAGCAACUGAGAAUAACUUUGUUCUUCUCUUUAUUUUAUUAGAUAAAUUGAUAUAUAAAUAAAUAUACUAAUAUAAAUAUUAUUUUUAUGAUAAUAUAUUUAGACAUUAAAUUUUAUUAUAUAAUAUAAAUUAAUUAAAUUUAAUAUAUUAUUUAUUUUAUUAAGUUUUAUUAUUUAUAUAUUAAUAUUUAAUUAUUUUAUUUUAUAUUAAGUAUUAUAUAUAUAAAUUUAUUUUUUCAUGUAUUAUAUAUAUAUUUUAAUUUGUAUUGAAAUUUAUACUAUUAUUAAUUAAAAUUAUAAGGAUAUCGUUACAUAUAUUAUGAAUAAAUUAUAUAAAAUAAAUUAUUAUUAUAUAUAGUAAAAUAAAUAUACUAUUUUAAAUUAAAUUGUUACAUAAAAUAUUAUAUUAUAAAUUACUAUAAGAAAUAAUUUUAUAUAAAAUAUACUAAUAUAAAUUAAUUAUUUUAUUUUUAAAAAUAUAUUUAGAUAUUGUUCUACACUUUUUAUCCAAACACUAUUAAGAAUAUUCUCUAGAAUAUUCCCGAAUGCAUCCAAAUAUAAAUUUACAAUUGUUCUAUCUUGUACUAGAAUAUCCAUUGUUCUCGGGAGCAACAAAAGUUGUUCUCCAACCAAACGCAGCCUAAGACUAUGUUU
rnacentral:lncRNA from 1 species